rnacentral:rRNA from 1 species
GGGGAAUAUUGGACAAUGGGGGCAACCCUGAUCCAGCCAUGCCGCGUGAGUGAUGAAGGCCUUCGGGUUGUAAAGCUCUUUUGGUGGGGAAGAUGAUGACUGUACCCACAGAAUAAGCUCCGGCUAACUUCGUGCCAGCAGCCGCGGUAAUACGAAGGGAGCUAGCGUUGUUCGGAAUUACUGGGCGUAAAGGGCGCGUAGGCGAUUUGGCAAGUUGGAUGUGAAAGCCCUGGGCUUAACCCGGGAAUUGCAUUCAAGACUGCCUUAAUUGAAUUCGGUAGAGGUGAGUGGAAUUCCCAGUGUAGAGGUGAAAUUCGUAGAGAUUGGGAAGAACACCCGUGGCGAAGGCGGCUCACUGGACCGAUAUUGACGCUGAGGCGCGAAAGCGUGGGGAGCAAAC